GACGAACGCUGGCGGCGUGCCUAACACAUGCAAGUUGAGCGACGAACCAGGGCUUGCCCUGGGGCAAAGCAGCGAACGGGUGAGUAACACGUGGGUAACCUACCCCGAUAACCGGGACAACCCGAGGAAACUCGGGCUAAUACCGGAUGUGCUCACUGGACUUCGGUUCAGUGCGUAAAGGAAGCUUCGGCCUCCGUAUCGGGAGGGGCCCGCGGCCCAUUAGUUUGUUGGUGGGGUACGGCUCACCAAGACCGCGAUGGGUAGCUGGUCUGAGAGGACGAUCAGCCACACUGGGACUGAGACACGGCCCAGACUCCUACGGGAGGCAGCAGUGGGGAAUCUUGCGCAAUGCGCGAAAGCGUGACGCAGCAACGCCGCGUGGGGGAAGAAGGCCUUCGGGUUGUAAACCCCUUUCAGGAGGGACGAAGGUUCGGCGGUGAAUAGCCGUCCGGACUGACGGUACCUCCACAAGAAGCCCCGGCUAACUACGUG
rnacentral:rRNA from 1 species